GGCCCAGGACGAAACGCCGGCGGCGCGCUCACACACGCAAGUCCGAACGGCGAAGCGCCUUUUUUUUCGGUCGGCGCGGAACGAGUCGGCGAAACGGGCGAGUAACACGUCGAGUAACCUCGCCCCUCUCUUCUCGGAUAACCGCAUGAAAGCGCGGCUAAUACGGGAUACUCUGCGCCCGCUCGCAUCGGUGGGUCGCGGGAAAGAUUCGUGCCUUUCGGGCGUUUUCGGUGGGGGAUGGGCUCGCGGCCUAUCAGCUUGUUGGUGGGGUGAUGGCCUACCAAGGCGGUGACGGGUAGCCGGCCUGAGAGGGUGGACGGUCACACUGGGACUGAGACACGGCCCAGACUCCUACGGGAGGCAGCAGUGGGGAAUAUUGCACAAUGGGCGCAAGCCUGAUGCAGCGACGCCGCGUGAGGGAUGGAGGCCUUCGGGGUUGUGAACCUCUUUCGCCAGUGAAGCAGGCCUGUCCCUUUUGUGGGUGGGUUGACGGUAGCUGGAUAAGAAGCGCCGGCUAACUACGUGCCAGCAGCCGCGGUAAUACGUAGGGCGCGAGCGUUGUCCGGAAUUAUUGGGCGUAAAGAGCUCGUAGGCGGCUGGUCGCGUCUGUCGUGAAAUCCUCUGGCUUAACUGGGGGCUUGCGGUGGGUACGGGCCGGCUUGAGUGCGGUAGGGGAGACUGGAACUCCUGGUGUAGCGGUGGAAUGCGCAGAUAUCAGGAAGAACACCGGUGGCGAAGGCGGGUCUCUGGGCCGUUACUGACGCUGAGGAGCGAAAGCGUGGGGAGCGAACAGGAUUAGAUACCCUGGUAGUCCACGCCGUAAACGUUGGGCACUAGGUGUGGGGGGCCUUUUCCGGGUCUUCCGCGCCGUAGCUAACGCAUUAAGUGCCCCGCCUGGGGAGUACGGCCGCAAGGCUAAAACUCAAAGGAAUUGACGGGGGCCCGCACAAGCGGCGGAGCAUGCGGAUUAAUUCGAUGCAACGCGAAGAACCUUACCAAGGCUUGACAUGUGCCGGUCGGCUCCGGAGACGGGGUUUCCUCCUUGUGGGGCCGGUUCACAGGUGGUGCAUGGUUGUCGUCAGCUCGUGUCGUGAGAUGUUGGGUUAAGUCCCGCAACGAGCGCAACCCUUGUCCCGUGUUGCCAGCACGUUGUGGUGGGGACUCGCGGGAGACUACCGGGGUCAACUCGGAGGAAGGUGGGGAUGACGUCAAAUCAUCAUGCCCCUUAUGUCUUGGGCUUCACGCAUGCUACAAUGGCCGGCACAGAGGGCUGCGAUACCGUGAGGUGGAGCGAAUCCCUUAAAGCCGGUCUCAGUUCGGAUCGGUGUCUGCAACUCGACACCGUGAAGUUGGAGUCGCUAGUAAUCGCAGAUCAGCAACGCUGCGGUGAAUACGUUCUCGGGCCUUGCACACACCGCCCGUC
rnacentral:rRNA from 1 species